UACAGAGGUCUCAAGCGUUGUUCGGAUUCAUUGGGCGUAAAGGGUGCGUAGGUGGCGCUGUAAGUCGGGUGUGAAAUUUCGGAGCUUAACUCCGAAACUGCAUUCGAUACUGCGGUGCUUGAGGACUGGAGAGGAGACUGGAAUUCAUGGUGUAGCAGUGAAAUGCGUAGAGAUCAUGAGGAAGACCAGUGGCGAAGGCGGCUUCCUGGACCUGUUCUGACACUGAGGAGCGAAAGCGUGGGGAGCGAUCCGG
rnacentral:rRNA from 1 species